UAGCGUAGGGGGCAAGCGUUGUCCGGAUUUAUUGGGCGUAAAGAGCGUGUAGGCGGCCUUACAGGUCAGCUGUGAAAACUCGAGGCUCAACCUCGAGACGUCGGUUGAAACCGUAAGGCUAGAGUCCGGAAGAGGAGAGUGGAAUUCCCGGUGUAGCGGUGAAAUGCGCAGAUAUCGGGAAGAACACCCGUGGCGAAGGCGGCUCUCUGGGACGGUACUGACGCUGAGACGCGAAAGCGUGGGGAGCGAACAGG
rnacentral:rRNA from 1 species